AACGGAAAGAGGGAAAAAGAGGCCAAAAAGGAAGUAGCUGCACAUCUCCCCAGUUCUUCUGUGUGUUGCAUUCUCCCUUCCUCUUUUUCUCUCAGUGCUUUGGAAUAGAAAAAGCGAGAAGGAAUUCUUG
rnacentral:ribozyme from 1 species